CCAAACGACCCCUUCCCCUUCAUCUCUCUCACUCAAACACACCCAAAGAACCCUAGCCGCCACCCCUCCCCUCGAUUGAAAACCCGGCGGCGCCACUCCCUUUCACCACCAAAUUAACACCCCUUAACCCCCUUUACCCCCUAAACACGAAUCCAUGGUUGUCUAACCUCGAAUCUUCCUUAGUAUUCUCGAAUCUUCAACCGAAGAUUCGAGCCGGAUACCAAACCAUCCCAACCGGCCCCAAACUCACUCCAAACACUUCCCUAACCUCCCUAUUCACCAAUCCAUCACCAUUUUAGUUCGAAUCUAACCCAAACUACUCGAACCCCAUCCGAGCCCCAAGAACCCUUUAAAAAACAUCGAGCUUGGUUUUGUCCGAAUUAAAGAGUUUUUGGGUCUCAAUGGACUUUAGUCGAUGUGUUCUCAGUUGAGAACUCGAUUAAAGUCCGUUUGACCUCAAGAAUUCCAAGUACGAAAAUUGGUCCUAAGUCGUUUGAUUUCUGAUUCUUCUCCUGAGGUAUUCUUUCUUCCUUUUCUUCGAUUUUUAUUAAUAUCCGUUAUUAGUUUAGUUUUGUUAUUUUGAUAUUUUGUUUUCUUAUCAACUGUUCUCUGCUUCUCCGAAUUAAGGACCUUUUAUUUGGUCGAUUUUAUUCUGUUUGUUUUUGGUUGUAGCCGUUGUGGAUUACAUAUUCGAUUUGAUUAACGUCGUCGAGUAAUUAGUUUCACGAACCACCUGUUUUGUCCAAAACCGUGAAUCACCCUGUUCUUGUGUCGAUUAUUUGUUAUCAGUUAUGUAUGUUGUAAUCGAUUGAUUAAAUGUCGUCGAUUAGUUGUAUAUGCUUGAUUGUUAGAUUAAUGUUGACAGUAGUGAUAUUGAUACUUUUAAUUUGGUCCAAACUAUUGUUUGAAUUAAAAUCUGAGUGGUCUACAGUUGAAUCUAAGUUGAAUUGGUUACAUGAAUCUGUUUGACAUUUGUUAAUCAAUCCAAGUUCUUACAGAUUAAAGGGAAGGCUAGGAUUAAACGAACAUAGGAAUUAAUGGACUGUGAUUUGAAAUUAUGAUGAAGUGUGAGGCCAUGUGCUGUCAGGCACGCCUGAAUUUAAUAUUCAGGCUGCCCCAUGGCCAUUUAUUGUUUAAUAACUUGAAGGACCAAAAACAACAAAUUGUCUAUCAACUUUCAAUUAAACAAAUGAACAGAACACUCAAUAAUAGACAAUCAGGGAAUAACAUGGGUUUUAGACUAAAACAAACUGAAAAGAGAUUUAAGACAUUCUGAAAAGGUUGAAAAGCAUAGUGCUCUUAAGGGCUGGAAAUCAGAAGCAGUAUGGGGUUAUUGAUAAAAAGGGUAAAUGCACAUGAAAUCUGUCAGUUUUCAAAUGAAGUUAACAGGCUGUAUAGUUUGGCUAUAUAAGAGAAGGUUUCAGAUUAGUUGAAGAGGAGAAAUUUUGAGAUCAGUUAGAGAGUCUUUGAGAAAUCAGAAUUUUGAGCAAGUUUCAGAAAAUCAGAAAGUUGAGAGGCAAGUCGAGAGAGGUUCAAAAAUAGAAAAGGGAAAUACUGCUUCAUUAGCUUUUCUUCUGAGCAGUCUUCAGAGAGUUUAAAGGCGUAAAAUAGAGAGUCUUUGAAUCCUAUAAAAAAUCAGUGUUUCGAAAGCCUUGAAUCCUUUUCUUCUUCUAAAGCAAUAGAAACCUUCAGAAACUCGAAAGCACCUACUGUUCCAUUGAUUUCUAGUGGCUGAGUGGUAUUUCCUGGUUCAGCUUUGUCUACUGAUUUGCUUGGGUUUCACUGGUUGGUUUACAAGGGAUUCUGGGCCUAUCUGAUCUUGUCUGCUUGAUUUCAAAAUAGUCUUGGAACUAUACUGGUUUCUGGUUUGAAGUUUUGGUAUAAUGGUUGUGUUGUUGUGGUCUGCUGCUGCUAUUACUGCUGCCACUGAUCUUUUAUUUGAAGUGAAUCUCUGAGUUCCCUCUGUUUUGCUCAAAUUUAAUGUAUAGAACAGUAGUCUCUUUAUUAUUUCAAGCCAUGUACUAGACUGAUUUUGGGUUGUUAAAUAAUGGAUUGUCAAACUAAUCCAGAUAUCUUAGCUGUGUUUUAGUAAUUUAGUUUGAAUUCAGCUGGUGUUGCUAGUGCAAUGUAUGGUAUUUAAUAGGUACAUAAAUGGACUGUAUGACCAUAACAGAAUAACUAUUCAUAUUCAUGAAGUUGAACAUUUUGAUACUGCAGUAUGUUAAUAGUUUGAUUAUUCUAAUCAUGAGUCACUA
rnacentral:lncRNA from 1 species